GACGAACGCUGGCGGCGUGCUUAACACAUGCAAGUCGAACGGAAAGGCCCUGCUUUUGUGGGGUGCUCGAGUGGCGAACGGGUGAGUAACACGUGAGUAACCUGCCCUUGACUUUGGGAUAACUUCAGGAGACUGGGGCUAAUACCGGAUAGGAGCUCCUGCUGCAUGGUGGGGGUUGGAAAGUUUCGGCGGUUGGGGAUGGACUCGCGGCUUAUCAGCUUGUUGGUGAGGUAGUGGCUUACCAAGGCUUUGACGGGUAGCCGGCCUGAGAGGGUGACCGGCCACAUUGGGACUGAGAUACGGCCCAGACUCCUACGGGAGGCAGCAGUGGGGAAUAUUGCACAAUGGGCGGAAGCCUGAUGCAGCAACGCCGCGUGCGGGAUGACGGCCUUCGGGUUGUAAACCGCUUUCGCCUGUGACGAAGCGUGAGUGACGGUAAUGGGUAAAGAAGCACCGGCUAACUACGUG
rnacentral:rRNA from 1 species